ACGAACGCUGGCGGCGUGCUUAACACAUGCAAGUCGAACGGAAAGGCCCUGCUUUUGUGGGGUGCUCGAGUGGCGAACGGGUGAGUAACACGUGAGUACCUGCCCUUGACUUUGGGAUAACUUCAGGAAACUGGGGCUAAUACCGGAUAGGAGCUCCUGCUGCAUGGUGGGGGUUGGAAAGUUUCGGCGGUUGGGGAUGGACUCGCGGCUUAUCAGCUUGUUGGUGGGGUAGUGGCUUACCAAGGCUUUGACGGGUAGCCGGCCUGAGAGGGUGACCGGCCACAUUGGGACUGAGAUACGGCCCAGACUCCUACGGGAGGCAGCAGUGGGGAAUAUUGCACAAUGGGCGGAAGCCUGAUGCAGCAACGCCGCGUGCGGGAUGACGGCCUUCGGGUUGUAAACCGCUUUCGCCUGUGACGAAGCGUGAGUGACGGUAAUGGGUAAAGAAGCACCGGCUAACUACGUG
rnacentral:rRNA from 1 species